rnacentral:rRNA from 1 species
GACGAACGCUGGCGGCGUGCUUAACACAUGCAAGUCGAACGGAAAGGCCCUUCGGGGUACUCGAGUGGCGAACGGGUGAGUAACACGUGGGUGAUCUGCCCUGCACUUUGGGAUAAGCCUGGGAAACUGGGUCUAAUACCGAAUAGGACCACGCGCUUCAUGGUGUGUGGUGGAAAGCUUUUGCGGUGUGGGAUGGGCCCGCGGCCUAUCAGCUUGUUUGUGGGGUAAUGGCCUACCAAGGCGACGACGGGUAGCCGGCCUGAGAGGGUGACCGGCCACACUGGGACUGAGAUACGGCCCAGACUCCUACGGGAGGCAGCAGUGGGGAAUAUUGCACAAUGGGCGCAAGCCUGAUGCAGCGACGCCGCGUGAGGGAUGACGGCCUUCGGGUUGUAAACCUCUUUCAAUAGGGACGAAGCGCAAGUGACGGUACCUAUAGAAGAAGCACCGGCCAACUACGUG